rnacentral:rRNA from 1 species
GACGAACGCUGACGGCGUGCUUAACACAUGCAAGUCGAACGGAAAGGCCCUGCUUUUGUGGGGUGCUUGAUUGGCGAACGGGUGAGUAACACGUGAGUAACCUGCCCUUGACUUUGGGAUAACUCCAGGAAACUGGGGCUAAUACCGGAUAGGAGCUCCUGCUGCACGGUGGGGGUUGGAAAGUUUCGGCGGUUGUGGAUGGACUCGCGGCUUAUCAGCUUGUUGGUGGGGUAGUGGCAUACCAAGGCUUUGACGGGUAGUCGGCCUGAGAGGGUGACCGGCCUCAAUAGGACUGAGAUACGAAGCAGACUCCUACGGGAGGCAGGAGUGGGAAGUAUUGCAGAAUGGGCCGAAGCCUGAUACAGCAGCGCCGCGUGCGGGAUGACGGCCUUCGGGUGGUAAACCGAUUUCGCCUGUGACGUGGCGUGAGUGACGGUAAUGGGUAAAGAAGCACCGGCUAACUACGUG